UUCAUACCGUAAACGAAUGGUGAAACCGCGAAUGGUUCAGGAACCGGACCUAAUCCUCGGGACCGUAUUCCUCACCACAAGGAGAGUGGAUAACUGUGGAAAUUCUAGAAGACCGGAAGGGCACAC